AUUGAACGCUGGCGGCAGGCCUAACACAUGCAAGUCGAGCGGAUGAAGGGAGCUUGCUCCUGGAUUCAGCGGCGGACGGGUGAGUAAUGCCUAGGAAUCUGCCUGGUAGUGGGGGAUAACGUCCGGAAACGGGCGCUAAUACCGCAUACGUCCUGAGGGAGAAAGUGGGGGAUCUUCGGACCUCACGCUAUCAGAUGAGCCUAGGUCGGAUUAGCUAGUUGGUGGGGUAAAGGCCUACCAAGGCGACGAUCCGUAACUGGUCUGAGAGGAUGAUCAGUCACACUGGAACUGAGACACGGUCCAGACUCCUACGGGAGGCAGCAGUGGGGAAUCUUGGGCGCUGGGCGCACGCCUGCUCCUGACCUGCCGCGUGUGUGAAGAAGGUCUUCGGAUUGUAAAGCACUUUAAGUUGGGAGGAAGGGCAGUAAGUUUAUACCUUGCUGUUUUGACGUUACCCACAGAAUAAGCACCGGCUCACUUCGUG
rnacentral:rRNA from 1 species